rnacentral:rRNA from 1 species
CCAGACUCCUACGGGAGGCAGCAGUGAGGAAUAUUGGUCAAUGGACGAGAGUCUGAACCAGCCAAGUAGCGUGAAGGAUGACUGCCCUAUGGGUUGUAAACUUCUUUUAUAUGGGAAUAAAAUGUUCCACGUGUGGGAUUUUGUAUGUACCAUAUGAAUAAGGAUCGGCUAACUCCGUGCCAGCAGCCGCGGUAAUACGGAGGAUCCGAGCGUUAUCCGGAUUUAUUGGGUUUAAAGGGAGCGUAGGUGGAUUGUUAAGUCAGUUGUGAAAGUUUGCGGCUCAACCGUAAAAUUGCAGUUGAAACUGGCAGUCUUGAGUACAGUAGAGGUGGGCGGAAUUCGUGGUGUAGCGGUGAAAUGCAUAGAUAUCACACAGAACACCGAUUGCGAAGGCAUCUCACGAAUCCGCGAUUGACGCUGAUGCACGAAAGCGUGGGUAUCAAACAGGAUUAGAUACCCCAGUACA